rnacentral:rRNA from 1 species
CAUAUCAAUAAGCGGAGGAAAAGAAACUAACAAGGAUUCCCCUAGUAACUGCGAGUGAAGCGGGAAAAGCUCAAAUUUAAAAUCUGGCGGUCUUUGGCCGUCCGAGUUGUAGUCUGGAGAAGUGCUUUCCGCGCUGGACCGUGUAUAAGUCUCUUGGAACAGAGCGUCAUAGAGGGUGAGAAUCCCGUCUUUGACACGGACUACCAGUGCUUUGUGAUGCGCUCUCAAAGAGUCGAGUUGUUUGGGAAUGCAGCUCAAAAUGGGUGGUGAAUUCCAUCUAAAGCUAAAUAUUGGCGAGAGACCGAUAGCGAACAAGUACCGUGAGGGAAAGAUGAAAAGCACUUUGGAAAGAGAGUUAAACAGUACGUGAAAUUGCUGAAAGGGAAACGCUUGAAGUCAGUCGCGUUGUCCGGAACUCAGCCUUGCUUUCGCUUGGUGCACUUUCCGGAUGACGGGUCAGCAUCGAUUUUGACCGUCGGAAAAGGGCUGGAGUAAUGUGGCACCUCCGGGUGUGUUAUAGACUCUGGUCGCAUACGACGGUUGGGAUCGAGGAACGCAGCGCGCCGCAAGGCAGGGGUUCGCCCACUUUCGCGCUUAGGAUGCUGGCAUAAUGGCUUUAAACGACCCGUCUUGAAACACGGACCAAGGAGUCUAACAUACCUGCGAGUGUUUGGGUGGAAAACCCGAGCGCGUAAUGAAAGUGAAAGUUGAGAUCCCUGUCGUGGGGAGCAUCGACGCCCGGACCUGACGUUCUCUGACGGAUCCGCGGUAGAGCAUGUAUGUUGGGACCCGAAAGAUGGUGAACUAUGCCUGAAUAGGGUGAAGCCAGAGGAAACUCUGGUGGAGGCUCGUAGCGAUUCUGACGUGCAAAUCGAUCGUCAAAUUUGGGUAUAGGGGCGAAAGACUAAUCGA